CCUACGGGAGGCUGCAGUGGGGAAUAUUGCACCAUGGGGGAAACCCUGAUGCAGCGACGCCGCGUGAGUGAAGAAGUAUCUCGGUACGUAAAGCUCUAUCAGCAGGGAAGAAAAUGACGGUACCUGACUAAGAAGCCACGGCUAACUAAGUGCCAGCAGCCGCGGUAAUACGUAGGGGGCAAGCGGUAUCCGGAUUUACUGGGUGUAAAGGGAGCGUAGGCGGCAGCACAAGUCUGGAGUGAAAUCCCGGGGCUUAACCCCGGAACUGCAUUGGAAACUGUGCGGCUGGAGUGCAGGAGGGGGAAGUGGAAUUCCUAGUGGAGCGGUGAAAUGCGUAGAUAUUAGGAGGAACACCGGUGGCGAAGGCGGGUUACUGGACUGUAACUGACGUUGAGGCUCGAAAGCGUGGGGAGCAAACAGGAUUAGAUACCCUAGUAGUC
rnacentral:rRNA from 1 species